rnacentral:tRNA from 1 species
UCCAGGGUAGCCUAGUGGACAUGGCAUCUGCCCGGUAGGCGGAACACUGUGUGUUCGAUUCCCAUCCCUGGAC